rnacentral:rRNA from 1 species
AUUGAACGCUGGCGGAAGGCCUAACACAUGCAAGUCGAACGAGUGGCGGACGGGUGAGUAAUGUCGGGGAAACUGCCCGAUGGAGGGGGAUAACUACUGGAAACGGUAGCUAAUAACGCAUACCAUCGGAUGUGCCAAGAUGGGAUUAGCUUGGAGGUGAGGGAACGGCUCACCUAGGCGACGAGCCCGAGCUGGUCUGAGAGGAGGACCAGCCACUCUGGAAAUGGUACACGGUCCAGACUCCUACGGGAGGCAGCAGUGGGGAAUAUUGCACAAUGGGCGCAAGCCUGAUGCUGCCAUGCCGCGUGUAUGAAGAAGUCCUUCGUUUUGUAUAGUACUUUCAGCGGGGAGGCGUUACCCGCAGAAGAAGCACCGGCUAACUCCGUGCCAGCAGCCGCGGUAAUUC